rnacentral:tRNA from 2 species
GGCCCCAUCGUCUAGAGGCCUAGGACACCGCCCUCUCAAGGCGGAAACCCGGGUUCGAAUCCCGGUGGGGUCACCA